rnacentral:rRNA from 1 species
GACGAACGCUGGCGGCGUGCUUAACACAUGCAAGUCGAACGGAAAGGCCCGGCUUUUGUGGGGUGCUCGAGUGGCGAAAGGGUGAGUAACACGUGAGUAACCUGCCCUUUACUUUGGGAUAACUUCAGUAAACUGGGGCGAAUACCGGGUAUGAGCUCCUGCUGCAUGGGGUUGGUGUUAGAGUUUCGGCGGUGGGGGAUGGACUCGCGGCUUAGCAGCUUGUUGGUGGGGUAGUGGAUUACCAGGGCGUUGACGGGUAGCCGGCCUGAGAGGGUGACCGGCCACAUUGGGACUGAGAUACGGCCAAGACUCCUACGGGAGGCAGCAGUGGGGAAUAUUGCACAAUGGGCGGAAGCCUGAUGCAGCAACGCCGCGUGCGGGAUGACGGCCUUCGGGUUGUAAACCGCUUUAGCCUGUGACGAAGCGUGAGUGACGGUAAUGGGUAAAGAAGCACCGGCUAACUACGUG